rnacentral:rRNA from 1 species
GUGGGGAAUUUUGGACAAUGGGCGCAAGCCUGAUCCAGCCAUUCCGCGUGCAGGAUGAAGGCCUUCGGGUUGUAAACUGCUUUUGUACGGAACGAAACGGCCUUUUCUAAUACAAGAGGCUAAUGACGGUACCGUAAGAAUAAGCACCGGCUAACUACGUGCCAGCAGCCGCGGUAAUACGUAGGGUGCAAGCGUUAAUCGGAAUUACUGGGCGUAAAGCGUGCGCAGGCGGUUAUGUAAGACAGUUGUGAAAUCCCCGGGCUCAACCUGGGAACUGCAUCUGUGACUGCAUAGCUAGAGUACGGCAGAGGGGGAUGGAAUUCCGCGUGUAGCAGUGAAAUGCGUAGAUAUGCGGAGGAACACCGAUGGCGAAGGCAAUCCCCUGGGCCUGUACUGACGCUCAUGCACGAAAGCGUGGGGAGCAAACAGGAUUAGAUACCCCAGUAGUCC